rnacentral:lncRNA from 1 species
AACAACAACUGGGAAGCCUUCUCAGCUACACUUCGGGGCACUGGUCCAACCCCACGCAAAAUCCCUCGUUUCCCUUAGCGUGCAGAACCACGGGCACGGUGAUGAUGGUGACAAGCGCAGCAGCACCCAGCAGUCCCAGAAGAACCUUCCACGGUGUCUGCAAGCCGAGCAGAUCAAGUCCAAUUAGAGGGAAGCGUGUGGCCCCAGUUUCCGUAGGAGGGUCGGGGCUGCUCCAGAGGCAGCAGGAUUUGCAGGAAGGAAGACUGUACACAGAGAAUAAAUAACUUGGCCAAGCCAUUCAGCUAGGAAGUUGUAGAUCCUAAAUUAAGAGUUCAAGGUCUUAAUGGCUACUCUAUGCGGCCUCUCAUAGUCUUUUCAAGGGUUUUGGAGAAGAAUAAAAGAUCAGGUAUGGCUUCUCCCUCCCCCAGCUCUCUAUUGUUCCCUAAAGGAUUAUUCAUUCGUUCAUUCAUUCCUACAUCCUCCCAUUUAUUCCAGUCAUCCACAGAUGUUUGAGUGGUUACAAUGUGCCAGCCUCCCUUCUAGGUACUGGAGAUAAAGUGGGACAAGAGAGGUGAGGUCUGGACCCUUGGCACUUUCACGAUAAAAUACACAGGUAAACAUUUGCCUUUAGGGCCCCCUG